rnacentral:rRNA from 1 species
UGGCGGCAGGCCUAACACAUGCAAGUCGAGCGGUAACAUUUCUAGCUUGCUAGAAGAUGACGAGCGGCGGACGGGUGAGUAACGCGUAGAAAUCUACCUAGUAGUGGGGGAUAGCCCAGAGAAAUUUGGAUUAAUACCGCAUACGCCCUACGGGGGGAAGCGGGGGAUCUUCGGACCUCGUGCUAUUAGAUGAGUCUGCGUCGGAUUAGCUUGUUGGUGAGGUAAUGGCUCACCAAGGCGACGAUCCGUAGCUGGUCUGAGAGGAUGACCAGCCACACUGGAACUGAGACACGGUCCAGACUCCUACGGGAGGCAGCAGUGGGGAAUAUUGCACAAUGGGCGCAAGCCUGAUGCAGCCAUGCCGCGUGUGUGAAGAAGGCCUUAGGGUUGUAAAGCACUUUCAGCAGUGAGGAAAGGGGUGUCGUUAAUAGCGCCAUCCUGUGACGUUAACUGCAGAAGAAGGACCGGCUAACUCCGUG